CAUCUCACUGCCUUCGCUUACUCCUUCCUCAGGGAAUUCUUCCAGGAUUUACUUGAAGUUCCUGGAGUGGCUGUGGAGGCGUUCACCUUUCAGAGAGCAGUACACGCUGCUUUGGCCAGCUCAUCUGGGUCUGCAAAGCUGGGGAACAAGAGACCAUGCUUACUGAAGGUGUUUCAAGGUGUGUGGGGCCUGUGCAGGUACCUGUGCCACCCUAAAUAAGGACAUCUUCCCAAAUGGAGGACAGAACAAAGGAAAGUUCAGUACUGCA